AAAGUUGAGGUUCGAAGGCGAUCAGAUACCGCCCUAGUUCUAACCAUAAACGAUGCCAGCCAGCGAUCCGGCUGUGUUCCUCAAAUGACACGCCGGGCAGCUUCCGGGAAACCAAAGCUUUUGGGUUCCGGGGGAAGUAUGGUUGCAAAGCUGAAACUUAAAGGAAUUGACGGAAGGGCACCACCAGGAAUGGAGCUUGCGGUUCAAUUUGACUCAACACGGGACAACCUACCCGGCCCGGACACAGGAAGGAUUGACAGAUUAAGAGCUCUUUCUUGAUUCUGUGGGUGGUGGUGCAUGGCCGUUCUUAGUUGGUGGACUGAUUUGUCUGGUUAAUUCCGUUAACGAACGAGACUCUAGCCUACUAAAUAGACGUUCCGAUUAUUUAUUUUUCGGACGUUCUUCUUAGAGGGACAAUCGGCGCUUAGCCCGAUGAGACAGAGCAAUAACAGGUCUGUUAUGCCCUUUGAUGUCCGGGGCCACACGCGUGCUACAUUGAAGGAAUCAGCGUGUGCUUUCCCUGUCCGACAGGACUGGGUAACCCGUUGAACCUCCUUCGUGCUGGGGAUAGGGGCUUGUAAUUAUUCCCCUUGAACGAGGAAUUCCUAGUAAGCGCGAAUCAUCAGUUCGUGUUGACUAAGUCCCUGCCCUUUGUCCACACCGCCCGUCGCUACUACCGAUUGAAUGAUUUAGUGAGGUCUUCGGACUGGCGCUCGGAGCGGCCUUCGGGUCGCGCCGGCGUGCCGGAAAGAUGACCAAACUUGAUCAUU
rnacentral:rRNA from 1 species